rnacentral:rRNA from 1 species
UACGAAGGGGGCUAGCGUUGUUCGGAAUCACUGGGCGUAAAGCGUACGUAGGCGGACCUGUAAGUCAGGGGUGAAAUCCCGGGGCUCAACCUCGGAAUUGCCCUUGAUACUGCCGGUCUUGAGUUCGGGAGAGGUGAGUGGAACUGCUAGUGUAGAGGUGAAAUUCGUAGAUAUUAGCAAGAACACCAGUGGCGAAGGCGGCUCACUGGCCCGAUACUGACGCCGAGGUACGAAAGCGUGGGGAGCAAACAGGAUUAGAUACCCUGGUAGUCCACGCUGUAAACGAUGAAUGCCAGCCGUUGGGCAGCAUGCUGUUCGGUGGCACAGCUAACGCAUUAAGCAUUCCGCCUGGGGAGUACGGUCGCAAGAUUAAA